UUGGAUACGCAUUUUGGCAACUGGCAUUAUAUUUCAAACUACGCAUUGGUUGUUAUAUGGUUGGUGACAUGAAUGCCAGUAACUGAGUUACAUAAUUAGUAUACUCGUGUGUGUGUGUGUGUGUGUGUGUGUGUGUGUGUGUGUGUAUGUGUGUGUGUGUGUGUGUGUGUGUGUGUGUGUGUGUGUGUGUGUGUGUGUGUGUGUGUGUGUGUGUGUGUGUGUGUGUGUGUGUGUGUAUUCAUAUGGCUGUUUACUCAAUUGGAAGAGUGUCAUCUCAUAUUGGUACAUUCAAGACACACUAAUGCAUGAACUACUAUCAUCCUAGCAAUGAUGAGAUAGAGGAUAAUUUCUUGGACAAGAAACUCCCAUCUUUGCCUCAUUUGAUUCUAGUGUAUAUAUUGAGUAACUGGUAUUUCAUUGGGGUGGACAAGGUCUGUGACUGUUGUUGUCGACAAGAACUGUCUGGCUUGCUGCAUUCUGGGUGUUCUGACCAUUACUAAUGGCCAUGUGAAAAAUGUGAGAGCGUUACCUGGGCCAUCAAGCUACACCUGGUACUGAAAUAAUCCAGGUAGCCAAGCAUGGUGUUUGUCCUUUUGUUGGUGAUGUCACAUUACUGGUUGAUGACACUUGAAAGACACCGUGUAUUUGAGAGAACAGCAAAAUCAACAUGGUCCUUAAUACUUCUAAAAUGAUCUGUUGCCAGCCAGCCGACAGUUGUUUGGCUGAAAUUCUUUGUCAACAUUAUUAAUUAACAAUGAGUUGAUGUCUGCUACUUGUUAUGAGUUCAUUCGAAGCCAUGCUCUAACUAGAAGAAGGAGUCAUGAUCAGUGAAACCUGCACUACUACAGAAAUGGGAGUGAAGAAAGUAGUCUUAGUUGCUAGUUGUACCAAGAGGACAGUUGUGACUUCAGGGUAGCAAUAAAAUGUUUGUCACUGCUUAUCUUGCAUAUGCAUUGGAUGUCCACAAAUAAUCAUGAGUCAUCUGACUCUUGUCAGAACUAUAAUUAUAAUAACGUCCAAACAUUGUGGUAAG